rnacentral:lncRNA from 10 species
CACUGUUAAAAAUACAUUUAUCAUUAAAAUAUAUUACACAUGGAGACAGGAUGCAUCAUAUACAGUUUGGAAGACUUGCUGGCCCAGAAAAUCCCACUUGUUUCACCGAACACUCAUUUUUUCAGUGAUUUUACAUUUUAUUUUUAGAGACGGGGUCUCCCUCUCUCACCCGGGCUGGCGUACAGUGAUGUGGUCAUAGGUCACUGCAGCCUCAAACUCCUGUGCUCAAGUGAGCCACCCACGUCAGCCUCCCAAGUAACUGGGACCACAGGCAUGCAUCACCACACCCAGCUAAUUUUUUAAAAAUGUUUUUGUAGAGAGGGGGUCUCCCUGUGUUGCCCAGCCUGGUCCCAAACUCCUGGUCUCAAGUGAUGCUCCCACCUCAGUCUCCCAAAGCAGGUGGAUCACCUGAGGCCAGGCAUUCGAGACCAGCCUGGCCAACAUGGUGAAACCGUGUCUAUACUAAAAACACACAAAAAAA